rnacentral:lncRNA from 1 species
CUGUUUAACCUUUCGCAUUGAAUAUAUUUAUAAGCAAUUCUUAUUGCGAAGUCUUAUAGCUUUAACCUCUACUCGGAUUAUCGGCGAGACCUUUAGCUCAGAUGAAAUCUCCACACGAAGUCAGCGGGUCUUAACCCAGACAUAGUCACCACAUAUGGUCAUCUGGUCUUUAAUCCCAAGUUUACAUCAUAGAGUUUCAUGCAUAUUUAUUCACAUGUUACAACAUUCACAUCGACUAUCAUAUUUGUAAUUCAUUUACCUCAUCAAAUAUCUAAUAAAACACACCUUCCGCCGUCUGUCAUUUGGCCACAAUAUAUAUAUACACAUCUCAUACAUAUCUCACAUUAGCCAUUCGGCUUUACCUCAUAUCCAUCUCAUACACGUUUCGCAUUAGCCAUUCGGCUUUACCUCAUAUCCGUCCAUCUCAUACACGUUUCGCAUUAGCCAUUCGGCUUUACCUCAUAUCCAUCUCAUACACGUUUCGCAUUAGCCAUUCGGCUUCGCCACAUAUAUACACUUCCACGUUCAUCACAUUGGCCAUUCUACCUUAUCACAUAUAUGCAUGUUCACUUUCAUCACAUUGGCCAUUCGGCCUUAUCACAUAUAUGCAUGUUCACAUUCAUCACAUUGGCCAUUCGGCCUUAUCACACAUAUGCAAGUUCACAUUCAUCACAUUGGUCAUUCGGCCUUAUCACGUAUAUGCAUGUUCACAUUCAUCACAUUGGCCAUUCGGCCUUAUCACAUAUAUGCAUGUUCACAUUCAUCUCAUAAAAUCCUAAAUCAAAAUAUAAAUUUUCAUGUAUUCACAUUACAAUUAUCCAAAUAUACUUCACAUACCACAUAUACUUUCACGUAUACACUUUGUCUUGGCUGAAUCUUUAUCUAUCAUUUUCCAAUGAAUAAUUCAAUUUCAUGCCAUACCAUUAUUUCAUAUUCGAAUACUUAUAACUUACAAUUUCACAAAUUUUAAUAUCAAAGAUCCAUCUAAAACUCAUAUAUCAUUUUACAAUAUCACAAUUUAGAAUUCACGUAUGGGUUUAAUCAAUAGCUUAUGAGCAACUAAAACAAGUUUUAUCCAUGUUUACAACAUAACCACAAAUUCUCUACAAGCUGUUUUUCCUGAGCAACAGUCGUUAAUUUAUUUUUAACUAGGGCUACGAAAUUCCAAAUUAUGUGGCGUUAAUUUUCCAUGAAAACAUACUCGUAUAUCCUCUAUCCACAAAAUUUUCAGAAUUUUUGGUUUGGCCAAUCAAUACCAGAUUUUUCUUAAAAUUUCCCCUAUUUUACUGCUUGACUACUCCGACUACUCUUCACUAAGAAUUUAAUUUCUCAUUGUACCGAAUUUAAAAUAUGUUUUCGUUUAUUUUGUUUGAAACUAGACUCAUUAAGGAGUCUAAGCAUAUAAUUUUAUCUUAUAAUCAUUUUUGUACGAUUUAUGAUGAUUUUCCAAAUACUGAAUAGGGGAUUUCGGAGCCAUUCUGACUCUGUCUCACACAACCUUGAAAAUCUCAUUACCGUCAACCCCUUUGCUUACACGAUUUCUUUUAGAAAAAACUAGACGUAUCAGGCUUUAAUUACAUAAUUUAUUCAGCCUUUAACUCAACUCCCACAAUUUAUGGUAAUUUUUCCAAAACACGCUACUGCUGCUGUCCCUAGAAGAUUUAUACAAUUUACUCUGUAAAGUUCUCAUUCACAUAUGUAAAACCUAAUAUCAUAUAUACCGUCAUUUAGAAAAGUCAUUGACCUUAACGUAUAUACAUAACUCAUAUUCAUCCCAUUUUAAAACUAAAAACUUACAAAGGAAUCAAACUCAAUUACUUAAGAACUUACCAUUGAGUUUAAAACAUAUCAUCAUAUAUAAGUACUUCUUAUUAUCACAUACAAAUCAUAAUUUAAAUAUCACUUUUCUAAUAACCAAUCGGCUAAGGCUCAUAGAAGUAACUUAUUCUUUAUCAUUUUACUAUAGGUAAUUACACCAAUUCAUAGUCCCAUCUUUACCCGUAUUCCAUAUCAUUCUUCAUUAUAACUAAACUUAUAUGCUAGAAACUUACCUUAAGAGUUGUCGACGACUAUAAUUCUACGGCUAUUCGCUUAGUUUUGUCUUCCCUUUUUCCGACUUUUGUCCUUGAUGCUCUUGAGCUAAUGAUUAACAAAUUUACAAAUUAAAAAAAAUUCUACCAUGACGAUUAUAGCCGAAUAACAUAGACUAAGAAAUUAAUGUACAUAUAAAACGUAUACAUAUAUAAUUAGCUCAACCUUCAAUAAUUCAAUUUGCUAAUUAAAACAUAGAAAUUUAUAACCAAUUCAAAAUUCCUUAACAACGGCCGAAUAUCAAAAGGGCUAUCAAAGGACAUCAUCAACUAACUAACAAGCUUCAAUUGUAAUUCAAAACUUAAGUUCACAUUCGGCCAUUAUAAGCAAAACAACCAUUCAAAGCUCACUUCAAUUAUUUAACAAAUAAAACUAAUGUUUAAUACUAUCUCCCAAUUUGGUAUGAGUUACCGAAUGAAAUUAAACUCCUAAUUCAUGCACUAAAAUCACAUUCGGCACAAGCAAACUUCAUUUCAAUUAUGCCACUCUUAAACUUAUCCAUAAUACCCUAAGUUCAUUUAGUAGCUAGGCAACAAUUAUACAAAAACAACAAGCAUUUAACAACAAUGUACUUAACCAAUUCCUUAAGCAUACAUUCGGCAAUAUAUAUAUUAAUGACUAAAACACUUAGGCCAAUUCUAAAACAUCCAUAAAUCUUCAUGCUUACAUGCCAUAACCGUAUGGUUCUUAUCACACUUGGACCACAAAAUGCAUAAAUUUCACAAAUUCUAAUUACUAUCAUAAGCUCAAUUUCGGCUAACACUCAAUUAAAUACUUACAAUUUAGCACUAAUUUAGCAUUUCAACAUAGCUGAUUAUCAUUAAGCAAUUAAGCCACAAACAUUUAAUUUUACCAAGCUCAACUCAUCUAUAAUCAACCCUCAAUACACUAAAGCAUCAAAAACAACAUCAAAGAAAUACAAACAUCCAUGACCGAAUGUCAUCUUCAUAACUUUACAAAAACAUUUGCCAUGAGCUAGCUUCUAUACUUGAUGACCACUCCAAAUAUACAAAGAUUUUCAAUGAAAGAGCAUUAACAUACCUUAAUCCACUUAAAUGUGACCAAAUGCCUUAACUUCAAUUUCUUCUUUUCUUUCUUUAGGUACGGCAAUGGAGGAAGAAAAAGAUGAACCAACUUUGUUUUUAUCGCCCAUUUCUUUUAAUAUAAGUUCAUAUUUCAUAUUAUUUAUUCAUUUAACAUUUAAUUUAUUAAUAUAAAAGGCAUAAAAUGUCCAUCAUCCACUAACCUUGCCAUCCACUAACUUAAGGAAGGAAUAUUUAACAUGCAAGUCCCCAUAUUUUAAACCAUACAAUAUUUGGCCACUACAAAUGAACCUAUCACAUUUUCAAGUUUCUCACAUAAGUCCUUUUUAAUAAUUCCACAUUCAAAUGACAAAAUUAAGACACGAUACUUUCACGCAUAAAACUUUACAUAUAAUAAACAUAGAAAAGAAAUUUUAUAUAAUUUUGUGACUCGAUUUUGUGGUCCCGAAACCACUUUCCGACCAGGGUCAAAUUAUGGCUAUUACAGCUGCUGGUAGAAACGGUUGAAUGAAGAAGAUGAUAGCUAAUUUGGCUUAUUUCCCUUUUUAAUUCUUUUAAUUAUUAGUUUACCAAAAUACCCCUAAAUUUAAAAUAUUUUAUUACACCCAUUUCAUAUCUAUUUUUGUCCAGCAAUUAACCAAUGGUCUAAUAUCAAUUUAAGGACCCUCAAUUUAAAAUUUCGUAGCAAUUGGACACCUCUAGUAUGUAGAACUCAACUUUUGCACUUUUUACGAUUUAGUCCUUUUGACUAAAUUAAGUGCCCGAAUGUCAAAAUUUUCGAACAAAAUUUUCACGAAAUUAUUCCGUGAAAUUGUAGACCAUAAAAAUAUAAUAAAAAUAAAAUUUUCAUCGUCGGAUAUGUGGUCCCGAAACUACUGUUUCGACUAGGCCCAAAAUCAGGGUGUUACAAUGCUGAUGUCCCAGACAUGGUCUUAUACAUGAAUCUCAAUCGAGGCCUGUGUCCCAGACAUGGUCUUACACGAUAUCUCAGACAAAUGUCAACUUUUCUUAGAAGCAUACAGAGCUUUUCAGAUAUUAACAUAUAAUCAUACUUUACUCCAAAGAUAUUCAUCAGGCACUCAAGGCCAUCCAAUACAGAUUACAGUUUAUAUGUGCAGAAUUUAUUUCAAUUAACACGUAAUUGUAAUUUGACUUACCUCAGACGGAUUUCGGGUAAAACGAGUCGACUAUUCAACUAUUUUGGACUGCCCCCGAUCUAAGUCUGAUUUUCUUUGUUCUUGAUCUAAUACAAUACAAAUUCAACGAUUCAAUCAUUCAUUUCAUUCAAUAUAAUCCAUAUACACAUAUUUAGGGCACAUUACAUUUUAGCCCUUACAUUUUCACACUUUGACAAUUUAGUCCAUUUUUCACAAAAUCACCAAUAUGCAAAAUUUGCUUGUACACAAGCCUAGCUGAAUUUUUAUGACUCUCAUACAAGUCUAUACAUUUCCUUUAUUUCACAUUUUAGUCCUUUAAAAUAGUAUUUUUACAAAUUAGCUCAAAUAGCUCUUUUUCAUCAAAAUUCAAGAACAAAGUAUGAUAAUCUCACAUAUAUCUUUCAUAAUCCUUAUAAAAACAUCACAAAGUUUAUAUAAUCAUCAAUGGCACAUUUCAUAAUAUUCUACAAAAGUAGAAAUUCAGACAUAGGUUUUGAAGAACACGAAGCAACGAUCACAGAAACGUAGAAAUUAUCAAAAACCAAGUCAAAACCGUACCUUAAUCAAACAAUCAAAGUGUCAAAACCUAAAAUGGCUUUCUCCUUUUUCUUUUACUUUGAUUUUCAGCUAUAUGCAUGAUAGUAUGGUCAAUUUCAUGUUUUCAUUUUAUUAUAAUAUACAUUAAUAUGCAUUUUACCAUUUUAACCUUAUUAAAAUAAUAUUUUCAACAUAUAAUGGAUGUCCAACAAUGUCCACUACCAAUUAAAAUGGUUUAUUUGACAUGCAAGGACAUUACUUUAAAAGCCAAGGCCAAUUUGUCCCAUUAACAAUUAGUAUGCAACAUUUGCAUUUUACACGAUUAGGUCCUUUCUUAUAAUUAAACACAGAAACAGACAAAUUAAAUCACAAAAAUUUUACAGAUGUAAAUUCACAUAUUACAGACAUAGAAAAUAAUAUUAAAAUAUUUUUAAACUCGGAUUUGUGGUCUCGAAACCACUGUUCUGACUAGGGUCUAAAUCGAAUUGUUACAUGCUAUAAGUGUGGUUCUCUUGACCACUUCCUUAAGGAUUGCCCAGAAUGAGAUAACAAAGAGGUUAAGCCAAACUCGAAGCCGAAUACUCCUAUCUCUUGAGGUAGACCUCCAGGAUACCCUAAAAGUGCCAGUGGAGGUCGUAGUGCUGCAAAGGAUAUUAUUGCCAAAUCAGAAGCUUGAGCCUCAGCAAGAACGUAUGCUAUACGUGCUAGAGAGGAAGCCUUAGCUCCUGAUGUCAUUACGGGUACAUUUUCUCUUUAUGAUAUUCCUGUUGCUACCUUAAUUGACCCGGGGUCAACCCAUUCAUAUGUCUGCAUGAAAUUGGUGUCUAGUAAAGAAUUACUUGUAGAAUUUAGGGAAUACGUAAUUAAGGUGUCGAAUCUGCUAGGCAAACAUGUACUGGUUGACAAGGUAUGCAAGAAAUGCGCUUUAAUGAUUAGAGGCCAUUGUUUUCCAGUUGACUUAAUGUUAUUGUCAUUUGAUGAGUUUGAUGUUAUUUUGGGUAUGGAUUGGUUGACACUACAUGAGGCUAUAUUAAAUUGUAGACAGAAGGACAUUGAAUUAAGGUGUGAAAAUGGCAAAACUCUCCAAGUUGAACCAAAUGAAUCAUAUGUUCCAUCCAUUGUAAUUUCCUCUAUGUUGGCUCAAAAAUGCUUGAGAAAAGGAUCUGAAACCUACUUGGCUUAUGCGUUGGAUACUAAGGAAUCUAAAUUGAAAGUCAAAUCAGUGCCAUUAGUAUGUGAGUACCCAGAUGUGUUUCCAAAGGAGUUACCAGGGUUACCUCCUAUUAGAGAAGUUGAAUUUAGCAUUGACCUAGUGCCAGGAACAACAUCUAUUUCGAUUGCUCCGUAUCGGAUGGCUCAACCAGAAUUAAAAGAGUUAAAGUCUUAGUUACAAGAAUUGACGGAUAAGGGUUUUGCAAAGCCUAGUUUCUCCCCUUGGGGUGGACCGGUAAUAUUUGUGAAAAAGAAAGAUGGUUCUAUAAGACUAUGCAUCGAUUAUCAUCAACUCAAAAAGGUGAAAAUCAAGAAAAAAUACCCAUUGUUGAGGAUUGAUGAUCUAUUUGACCAGCUAAAAGGAGCAACGGUAUUUUCAAAGAUAGACUUGAGGUCCGGCUAUUACCAACUACGAGUGAAAGAAUCGGAUGUGCCCAAAACUACUUUCCGAAUAAGAUAUGGUCACUAUGAAUUUCUUGUUAUUUCGUUUGGGCUAACGAAUGCUCCCACAAUAUUCACGGACUUGAUGAAUCGAAUUUUCUAACCAUACUUGGAUAAAUUUGUUGUAGUGUUUAUUGAUGACAUAUUGAUUUACUCUUAUGAUGAAUCCGAGCAUGCUGAACACUUGAGGACAGUUUUACAAACUUUAAGAGAUAAGCAAUUGUAUGCUAAGUUUAGCAAAAGUGAAUUUUGGCUUAAAGAAGUUGGGUUUUUGGGACAUAUUGUUUCGAGUGAUGGCAUCAGAGUUGACCCUAGUAAGAUUGCGGCCAUCGUCGAAUGGAAACCGCAGAGGAACGUGACAGAAGUUAGAAGCUUUUUAGGCUUGGCUGGCUACUACAGACGAUUUGUUUAAGGAUUUUCUAUGAUCUUCACUCCGAUGACUAGGUUACUGCAAAAAGAUGUUAAGUUUGAGUGGUCGAAAAAGUGUCAGCAAUGUUUUGAGAAACUAAAAGCGCUACUGACCGAAGCAUCAGUUUUGGUACAACCCAAGUCAGGUAAAGAAAUUCAUGAUUUAUAGUGAUGCAUCCUUGCAUGGUUAGGGAUGUGUACUCAUGCAAGAAGGUAAGGUGGUAGCCUACGCUUCAAGGCAAUUAAAGCCUCACGAGAAGAACUACCUAACACAUGACUUGGAAUUAGCUACCAUUGUUUUUGCGUUAAAGAUUUGGAGACACUAUCUGUAUGGUAAGAAGAGUCGGGUGUUCACUGAUCAUAAAAGUUUAAAAUACUUGAUGACUCAAAAGGAUUUGAACCUAAGACAACGUAGAUGGCUCAAAUUACAUAAAUAUUACGAGCUUAUGAUUGAUUACCAUCCGGGUAAGGCAAAUAUAGUCGCCAACGCUUUGAGUAAAAAAUCAUUAUUUUCCUUGAGGGCUAUGGGUACGCGGCUGGCUUUGUCCGAAGAUGGCUCGAUCCUAGCAGAGUUGAUAGUUAGACCGAUCUCUCUUCAAUAGAUUUGUGAUGGCCAGAAAGUCGAUAAAGAGUUACAAGCUAAAAGAGCUCAAUGUGAGUCUAGCAGUGAAACGGAUUUUCAGAUCGACUCUGAUGAUUGCUUGAGAUUUCAUGGUAGGAUCUGUGUUCUGAGCGACACUGAGUUGAUUCAGAAUAUUUUACAUGAGGCGCAUAGCGGUUGUUUAUCAGUCUACCCGGGUAGUACAAAGAUGUAUAGUGAUUUGAAGAAAUUGUAUUGGUGGAAUGGUAUGAAAAGGGAUAUCUUUGAGUUUGUGUCGAAAUGUCUGAUUUUCCAACAAGUAAAGGCCAAACAUCAAGUGCCUUCAGGGUUUCUUCAACCUAUCAUGAUUCCCGAAUGGAAAUGGGAACGUAUUACCAUAGACUUUGUGACAGGAUUGCCUUUGUCUCCAAAGAAAAAAGAUGUCAUCUGGGUCAUAGUUGACAGGUUGACUAAAUUGGCUCAUUUUAUACUAGAAUGAACUGAUUUCUUCUUUGAUAAGUUAGUCGAGCUGUACAUUAUUGAAAUUGUGAGACUUCACGAUGUACCAUAAUCGAUUAUUUUAGAUAGAGAUCCAAGGUUGACUUCUUUAAUACCAUUUUUCAACUGCAGGCUGAUGGACAAUCCAAGAGAGUAAUUCAGGCACUUGAAGAUAUGCUCAGAUGUUGUGUUCUUGAAUUCCAAGGUAGUUAGGAAAGGUACUUAACUUUGGUUGAAUAUGCUUACAACAAUAGUUAUCAGUCUAGCUUGAAGAUGGCGCCUUAUGAGGCACUGUAUGGAUGUAAAUGUCAUACACCAUUGUAUUGGACUGAGCUUAAAGAGAAUAAAAUUCAUGGAAUCGAUUUAAUUAAGGAAACCGUAUAAAAGGUGAAAGUAAUUCGUAAUUGUUUGAAAGCGACAUCGGAUAGGCAAAAGUCGUACGUGAAUUUGCAAAUAAAGGAAAUUGAGUAUAAGGUCAGUGAUAAAGUAUUCUUGAAAGUGUCUCCAUGGAAAAAGGUCCUGAGAUUCGAAAAGAAAGGAAAAUUAAGUCCUCCAUUUAUAGGACUGUAUGAGAUUAUAGAAAGGAUAGAGCCUGUUGCUUAUCGAUUGGCUUUGCCGACUGAAUUAGAAAAGAUUCAUGAAGCAUUUCAUGUAUCUAUGUUGCACUGAUAUAGAUCCGACCCUUCUCAUAUGAUUGCACCGAUAGAGGUUGAAAUCAGAUCGGAUAUGACUUUUGGUGAGGAACCGAUUAAGAUCUUGGCUCGGGAAGCCAAGCAAUUAAGAAAUAAAAGUGUUGCUCUUGUGAAAGUUUUAUGGCAAAUACAUGGGGUUGAAGAGGCUACAUGGGAGCCCGAGGAGACUAUGAGGAGACAGUAUCCAAACCUUUUUACUGGUAAGAUUUUCGAUGACGAAAAUCCCUAAAAGGGGGAGAGUUGUAACAUCCUAAUUUAGGGCCUAGUCGAAACAGUGGUUUUGAGACUAGAUAUCUAAAAUAGAAAUAAAUAUUUCAUGAUUAUUAUGAGGUCUAGGAUGAUAAUGUAUGCGUGAGUUGAAAUUUCAAGGAGAAAUUCUAUGCCUAAGAUGCUUAAUUUCACAUUAGGGACCAUAUUGCAAAAUAUGUAAAACUUGAGUUCUAGAAGCUUUUAGCAUGAAAUUGAGUUGGAUUAUAGAUUAUAUGUCUUCAAAUAGUAAUUGACCAAGUUCUAAAAAUUUGGACAAAAAUGGGCAUGCAUGGGUAAAAUUUUAAAGAAAGGCUUUACGGGCAUUUUGGUCAUUUGGUUAAUUAAAGAAUAAAAAGGGAAAAAUCAAGCAAAAACGUUGUCCAUCUUCUACAUGGUGCGCUGAAAAUUUAAGGGACUCCAUAGCUAGGGUUUUCAAUAUUUCAAGCUUGAUUAAUGGGAAAGACCAAUUCCGAAAGUAGAUCGUGGAAAACAAAAGGUUUUGGAAUAGUCGGAAUCCAAACCGAAGACAUCAUUCAGGUAAGUUCGUGUAACUUAAUUGGAUGUUUAUGCAUGUUGGCUUUAAUUAUUGUAUCAAAUUGAAUGUGAAAUGGAUAAAUAAUGAAUUGUAUGAAAAUUUCUACAAAUCCAAAAUUGAUUGAAAAAUGGGUUAGAAUCAGUUUGAAUAUGGAAUUCCGAUGGAUAGGUCACUUUUCAUGAAAAAUGGGAUCCUGCAUGUGUUGCAGAAAGGAUUUAGCUCGGACGGGUAAUCCAUUGAUCCUAUUAUAGAAAGGAUUUAGCCUGAACGGGUAAUCUUGAAACGUGCUUAUUGAGCAUACGUUUCAAUUAGGAUUUAGCCUGGACUGGUAAUCCUAGUUGACUGGAUUUAGCCUAGACUGGUAAUCCAAAUUAGACUCUGUAGGGUAUUCUUUGUCAUGUAAAGGACUUAGUCUGGACUGGUAAUCUGGAAAAGCCCUUAGAGUACAUGGAACAGCUAGAAUUUAGCCUAGACUGGUAAUUCUGCUAUAAGAGAUGUGGCUUGAGAGUGUACCGGAUAGGGUACUACUAGAUAUGAAUUGACGAUUAAUAAAAUAGUACACAUGGAGCGUACUAAGUGAUGAGAUAUCCAUCGGGAAUUCAAGGAUUCACUAGAUAAAAUAUUUGUGCAUGACAUGAGAAAUACAAAUUUGAAUAUUUAUAUGAUGUGAUGAGCUCAUCUAUGGAUCUUGAAAAUUUAUGUGACUAACUUGUUCAUUGAGUGCAUGUGUUUAGGGGAAAAAAAUUUAUAAUUGAUGGAUAACAUGGCUUGUUGUGAUUAUGUGUUAAAAAAGAGCGGUAAUUUUUCUUUCUGUUAUACAAACUUACUAAGCAUGUAAUGCUUACCCUCUUUUUACUUUCCCUGUCUUAUAGAGCUCUUGGACUCGUGAAGCUUGGAGGACGGUGGGAGUUUGAUCACACUAUCAGCAUUCUCGUUUUGGGUAUAAAAGGACUAUUCAUUUUGAUAUAAUGGCAUGUAUAGGGUAACUUAUCUUUUGGUUAUAUGUGUCAUUUAAAUUAGCCAAGUGUAAUGGAUCAUAAUGGUUGAUGAAUUAUUUUGUAUAUGGCCAUGAAAUAUGGCUCAUAUUUUCCUAUUGGGUUGUAACCCUUAUCAAUCAUGCAUGCAUGCAUGCAAUGCAUUCAUGUUGAUGUGGUUUCUUGGAAAUGAGGGAUGUAAGGUAUGGAAUAUUUAUUUGGUGAAUGGCCCAUGAUCAAUGAGUAUGGCCACAACAAUGUUAUAAAUGUGUAAAGUUGGAAAAAAGAAUAUAAAAAUCUAGAGGUUAUGAAUUGGUAUGAAAAGAUUAGGAAAUGCAUGUAAAAAAAUUGAGAUAGUGCAUGGAGGCAUUAGGGACAUAAUUUAAUCAUGGAUUUGGAUAUUGGAGUAGUUCAAAUGUGAAUGGUUGAAUGCUGAGAACAUGUACAAAUGAAUGAGUCCUUAAAGGGUGGCAAAAAGGCUUGGAGAAUAGCCUUGAAAUUGUCCACACGGGUAGACACACCGACGUGUGCGACACACAGUCUGCCCCAUGGGCGUGUGAUCCGACCUUGUGUCCCCUGCACCUUAAUUUUAUAAGUCAGAAUACCCAGCAGUAAACACACGAGCUAAGACACGGGCAACUGUCUUAACCGUGUGAGAGACACGGACUAACCAAAUAGGCGUGUGCUCUGGCUGUGUGAAGUCUGCACCAUUUUUAUGAAAAAUCAUUUAAUUUAAUUUGGCCAUAUGGUCUGGCCACACAGGCAUGUGACACGACUGUGUGACCUUAUUUUGGUGCUGACGUCAUAGUUAGAGAGUUACACGGCCUGUGGACAUGAGCGUGUCCCCAUUUCACACUGGCGUGUGACUUUGUAUUUAAGAAAAUUUCCCAAGUUUCCCUAAAUUUUCCGAUUGGGUCUCGAACUACUUCUGAUGUAUGUUUUGGACCUUGUAAGUCCAUACAAGGGACGUCCCACAUGUGUUUGAAUGACUUUUGUUUUGAAAAGGAUAUUAUAGCUCGAUUUUUCUUGAACAAUUGUAUGUAUGUCCGGAAAUACUUCAUACCCUGUCCCGGCGUCAGAUACGGGUAAGGGGUGUUACACGUGUGGUCAGGUCGUGUGGUUCACACAGCCAAGGACACACCCGUGUCUUAGGACGUGUAACUCUAUAACUUUGGUCACACGGCCAAGUCACAUGCUUGUGUGCUAAGCUGUGUGUAGGUGCAGGGGUCACAUGGCCAAGCCACACGCCCAUGUGCCAGGCUGUGUGAUCAAUUCUAAGCAUUCUGUUUUGACAUUUUAAAGUUAUAGGGGAUACACAGCUAGAUCACACGCCCAUGUGCUAGGCUGUGUGUCACACACGGCAGACACACACGCCCGUGCCUCUGCCCAUAUAGAGAAAAAUAGGUUAUUUUCCAAGCCACAUUUCUCACUCACAUUGUCAUCCACCUAUACCAACACUUUAACAUAUUCACAAGUCAAUAUAGGUCAUUUAAACCAACUUAAAAUUCAAGUCAUAUACAUGAUAUUAUACUUCAUAUAACCAAGUAUACAGAUUUACUUAAAUUACCAUGUUCACUUAUAUACAUUUUUUAUCAAAUAUGCUAACUUAAUUCAAUCAUUAAUAUGCCAAUAUAAUUUUUAUCAAUCCACCAUUUCAAGCAUAUACCAUACAUGUCCAUCACUAGCCAUUCCAAUGGCUAGUUAUAACCCAAAUAUUUUCAUGUCAACAUUGGCUAAUUAACCUAUACAUAUCAUUAUAACCAUAAUUAAUUUACCAUAUAUAUACCAAGAUGGGCCGAUGGAUAGUGUGAGUGAUCUCCGCCAAUGCUUAAAAACCAACGAGCUUCCGAAUUACUAUAGAACAGGGGAAAAUAAAACAGAGUAAGCAUAAUAUACUUAGUAAGUUUGUAUAACAUGGUAAUAAACUUACCAUUCAAUUAAAUUCAAUAUAAACAUACAAGGCAUAUUCAGUCAACUGAAUCACGAGCCCUAACACAUAUCCUUAUCACCCUUAUCAGUCAUAUAUUUCAUAUAAAUAUCAGGAACCAUGUAUGGCUCGACAAUAACUAAAUUUCAUAUUCAUAUACUUUUCACAUCAUGAAUUUAUAUAACAUAUACAAAUCUUAUCUAGGUAUUUCAAUUACACCAUCAUAAUAAUUCAUCUAAAGUUUAGAUUAUUUCAUAUCAGAAAUUUACACAUUAAAUCAUUUGAAAUAUCAAUGUCCCACGGGAAAUACAUUUAAGGUGUACUAAUCUAUAUUCAUGGAUGAACAUAUUUAUUAAAAAAAUUCCGCGUUCAUAUAUUAUCACCUUGUAUUUCCAUUUAUCAUGUAUCAUCAUUUUCAUGUAUUUUAGGUAGAUACAUGUAUUAACUCAUUUCAUGUUCAUAUCUUUUCACGUCAGGACUUUUACCCUUUGAAUUUAUUCGAAAUAUCGAUGGAUACAUAGGUAGUACACUCGAGGUGUACAAAUCAAGAUCUGACAAUUCAUAUUCAGGGGUAUCCGUCAGGGCAAAUAACCAGGGAGCACACUCUCGAGCCACAUAUCAGGGUGCUCAGAUGAGCCAUGUAACCAUGUAACAGGACACUUAUCCGGGCAAAUCAAGAAACUCAUAAGAGUUUUACUCAGGAAGCUCAUAAAGCUUAUCAGGUAACUCCGAAGAGUUAUUAUCAGGAAGCACCGGAUAAGGUAACAGGGAGUUCAAGCGAGCCAUGUCAAGAAGCUCAUAAAAGCCUAUAUCAGGAUGCUUACAUAGAGCUACAUUUGUGCCUGCAUUAUAUGCUGGAUCACAACCGAUCGAAUCAUGUAAUAAGAUGCUCACAUAGAGCGGUAGUAGUGCGCAACACAUGCAUAAUCACUACCGAUCAGGAUGCUCGUAGGAACUAUAUAACAGGAUGCUUGAGAGGGCUAUAACAGGAUUGCUCGUCUGAGCUAAAUUCUACCCAUAACAUAUGCAUGACCAUAAUCAAUACGGGAAAUCUUGUAUCCAUCGAAUUUCAUUAUUCAAAUGGGAUUUAACAUUUUUCAGCAUUAUCGAACAUGUAAUUAAUUUCAGGUCAAUAACAUUUACGUAAUUCAUACAUACAAUAUUCAAUUCAAUCAUUUAUCGGGCUUAAUUGGAUAUGUGAUCAUUUCAUAUAUUUAUGACAUUAUAUAAUUCACAGAAACAUACUCAUUUCAAACAUACAAAUAUAUACAAUUUAGUUACACGAACUUACAUUAAUAAAUGCUCGUGUACAUAAAAUCUACUAAUUCGAAAAUUUCCUCUUUUCCUCAUUCUAACUCCGAAUUUGGUCUAUUCGGAUCUAUACGAGUAAAUUUAACAUCAAUCUAAUACUGUAACACCCUAACCCGUAUCCGUCGCUGGAUUAGGGUCACGAGGCAUUACUGAACAAAAGCACAGUUUCGAGCAUUUACAUAACCACACAAGUCAUAUUCGUAUAUAUAAUGCACAUGGCUAAUUAAAUAUUAAACAUACAUUAUUAAUCAUAUUUUCAAACCAAUAAACAUGCCUCAAAGCCAUACAAUAUAUCCUUUAUAAAUACAUAACACGAAUUAUAUGCUCAUCACUUUAAUGGUAUUCGAAUACUUAAUAAAAAAAAUCAAACAUUUUACUUCAUAAUUCUAUACAUGCGCAUAUUAAACCAAAUAAAUCAUAUCACAAGGCUUUUGGUCCAUUAGCAUAUGCGGCAUUAACAACUUCACAAAAUGAUCAAAUAUAUUUCAUUAAACAUUAAAACCUUAUGCACAUUUAACCACAUCAAUUUUAGACCAUUUUGGAACACUAAUAAUAAAACAUAUCAUGCCUAGUUCACAUACAAAAAAUUUUGUUUAAACGUCGUCCUUUUAAUCCAUCUAAUAAGCCAUUAAAAAUCUGAACCUAAAUAUCCAACCAUUCAAGCAUAAAACAUGUGCAAACAUUGCCAUUUUUCCUAUCCUCUAUUUGGCUAGCAAGUUAACCUAUAAAAAAAUUAUACCCAAUGCAUCAAUAUAAAAGUGACCAUUUCGAGCACAAGCAACAACUUAGAGUGCACUCAAUUCGCAUACUAAUUAUCAUGCCUAAAAUGCAUAUACACAACCCAGCAAUUUAUUUUAUAAUCGGUCAUCCAAUUUAACUUCCAUAUAACAAUUAAAUUAUAUACAUUCUUUGUCAUUCUAAACCAAGCCUAAAUAGUCAAAUACCAUAGUCGAACAUACAAUUACUUAUAUAUAACACAUUUUGUAAUCAAACAUUAUAUAAGUAAUUUGACCCUUACAUGCCGAAUCACUAAAUAUCAUGACAUAGGCAUAUAUUUUUAUUUACCUAUCAUCAGCCAAACCAAAUACAUAAACAAAUUAUGUAUCAAAAUAUAGGUCAAUAUUAAACCACACCCAAAACAUGUAACACCCCUUACCCGUACCCGACCGAGAUAAGGUACGAGGCGUUACUGGACAAACAUACAAACAUUAAACUAAAACACGGGCCGUAAAAUUUCAUUCAUAUUUCAAAACGUUCAUUCACUUACACAUAGUCCCUUAUUUGAGUCUACGAAGCCCAAAACAUACUUUAGAAAGGGUUUAGGACUAAACCGAGAACUUACGAAAAUCUUAGAAAUUUCAUGCUUUAAGGCUCCACACGCCCGUGUCCCAAAGUCGUGUUCCAUACACAGCUGAGACACAUGGUCGUGUCUCUGCCUGUGUGGAAUAUACCUAGGCUAUUUUUCAAGCUUUGGUCAACCUUAAUCUCUUACACACUUAUACAAAAUCAAAAGCAUAUAACAUGGUAUUCAUUUAAUGAUUAAAUAUUCUCAAUUAAACCACAAACAUAGCAUUUGUAUGUCAUCAUACAUGUGUCUCUCAUACUCAUUUUACCUUGUUUAUUAUAGUACCACUUAUACAUUUAUACCAAGAUUAUCAUCUUACCAAAUAUCUUUAGCUUAAUCAUCAAGCAUUCAUAUUUAAAACUAGAUCAUAUCUUUAUAAAAUACCACAAUUCAGAUGCGCAAAAUAACAUGUUUGCCUGAAACAUUUCAAUUCAACUCCAUACCCAACAAGCAUUACAUUGAGACUAGUCAUAUAUAUAUACAUGUCAUGAUGGUUAUCCAAUUAGUACAUUUUAUUCAUUAAAAUUUCCCCUAUUUCACUAUCUGAUGGUUCUAACCUCUCUUCACUAAAAAUUAAUUAUCUCACAGUACAGAACUCGGAUAAUGUUCUUGUUGAUUUAUCUUGAAAAUAGACUCAUUAGGGAUUUUAAAAAUAUAAGUUUAAGCCUCUAAUUAUUUUAUCCAAAUUUUUGUGAUUUUCCAAAAUCAGAAUAGGGGAUCACAUAAUCAUUCUGAACCAGUCUCACAAAAACAUAAAUAUCUCAAAAUAUAGAACUCAUUUUCUUGCUCUGUUUCUUUUAUGUGAAAAUAGACUCACUAAUAUUUAAUUUUGUAUCUCAUUCAGUCUCUGAUUCAAUUUCUACUAUUUUUGGUAAUUUUUCAAAAUCACGUCACUACUACUGUCCAAAACAGUUUUAUUGCUAAUUCACUCUUUCACACUUUCUUUGUAUUAACCUCAUUUUAACAUACAUAUCACCAAUCAUUUUCACCACAUUUCAUACAUCAUAAGUAUAGGCCCAUGAUCACAAGGUCACCAUAAAAUCAUCCUCAUGUAUAACUUACUUGUUUAUAACCUUAACACAUCCUGGUCACUUAAUGAACACAUCAUUCACAUAACCAAGUUCCUGCACUUAUUCAUCACAAAACUCACAAAGCAAUAUAUAGAGAGUCUCCCUUUGAACACUUCAGAUCAAUCCUCGAUACUUGGUGGUUUCAGCACAUAGCUCCACCCAUCAUAUAGUUCGGCUCUCUUGUACACAUGGUGAACACUCAGUACCACCCAUGUAACUUAGCCAAUUUAUCUCGUAGCUCUUUUGUCUACAUGGUGUACUUCACCUGGAACCACGCAUGCAACCUAGCUACAUAUAUUCUGUAGCUCUCUUGCCUACAUGGUGUACACAUAGUAUCACCCAUGCGACCUAGCUACAUCAUAAUGUCUUGUAGCUCUCUUGGACACAUGAUGUGCACUCAGCACCAUACAUGUGACCUAGCUACAUACUAUCUGUAUCAUCCAAUCUUUCCGAAGGUUCGACCGGGAUUUCUCUCUCUUUUCUAACAAUUUCACCAAUCAAGUAAUUAUCCACAAACAUAUUUCCAAUAUUAUUAUAAAAUAUCAUAAUUCAAGUAAUAUUUAUGUAUUACUUACAUAUAAACUUACAUCUCAUUUAAUAUCAAGGCAAUAACAUUAAAUUACACAUUGCCUUAUUAAAAAUCAUAUGAACUUACAAUUUCCCAUAAUAUCCAUAAUCAUAGAAAUCACAUUUAUGUAUUAUAUUUCAGCGCACUUCAUGUACCAUAGACAUAUUCUUAAAUCAAUUCAUAAACUUGGCACCAUAAUCAUUUAAUUUAACAUAAUUCAAUUAAUUCACUAAAUUUAACUUUCAAAUAUAAAUUACAGCAUUAUUGCUGUAUUAUUAUCAUACCAACUUACAUACUUUCAACACCUCAGAAAUCAUAAUAAAUAUAUCAAUUUUACAUUGAAACAUGCAUAAAUUAAUGCUUAUUAUACAUAUGAACUUACCUCGAUACUAAAACGGCCAUUUUACCAACUUUCCCAAUUUUUGAUUUUUCUCUCAUUCUAGGUUCAAAUCUCAUUUUUCGGGAUAUAAAACAUCAUAUUUUACUUAUUUAAUUAAUGUACUAUUCAAAACAGUCCUUAACUCAAAGUUUGGAAAAUUUACAAUUUUGCCCCUAAACUUUUGCAUAAUUACACUUUUGCCCUUAGGCUCGGGAAUUAAACUUCAUCCCUUAAUCUUAUGUUUUAUGACAUGAUAAUCACUUUUCCCUUCUAUGGAAACAUCAAAUUCUCACUCUAACAGAUACUUAUGACUAUUAGGUAUUUUUACCGAUUAAGCCCUUUUACUCGUUUUCACUCAAAACUGAGUAGCACAAGUUGUCUAACAUAAUUUAAAACCUCAUAUUCUAUCAUAAAACAGCAAAAUAAACACAUUUCACCUAUGGUUAUUUUUCCAAAUAUGAACCCUAGCUUAAAUUAUUGCUAGAAUAAGCUUAAUCAAAUUACCGGGAUUCCCAAAACGUAAAGAACUUGAAAAACGGGAUUAGAACGGACUUACUAUUGAGCUUGGAAAGCUUGAAAACCCUAGCCAUGGCUUCCCCCAUGCUAAUUUCGGCCUCCAUGAAAAAGAUGAGUCAAUUUUGGCUUUAUUUUCCCUUUUUAUUUCUUUUAAUUACCAAAUGACCAAAAUGCCCUUCCUUACUAAACUUUCGAAAAUUCCAUCCAUGUCCAAUUUUUUUCCAUCACUUAGAAAUUGGUAAAAUUUCUAUUUAAGACCUCCUAAUUAAUAUUUCAAAGAAAUUUCAUACUAGACACUUCUAGAAUUCAAGUUUUGCAACUUAUUCAAUUUAGUCCCUAACUUCAAAUUGAGCACUUUAUGCAUAGAAUUUCUUCACGAAAUUUUCACACAAUCAUGCAAUCAUAUCAUAGACCUCAAAAUAAUCGUAAAAUAAUUAUUUCUAUCUCAGAUUUUGUGGUCCCAAAACCUUUGUUCCAACUAGACCCAAUUUUAGGCUAUUACAAAACACAUCCAUCAACCAUAUUUACUUCACUUGAGCCGAAUUAUAACAAUCCACAAAAAUCUCAAGCUAUCAACAAUGGAAAAUCACAAUAUCCACAACCAAUUCAAAAAUUCAAGCAUGGGCUAGCUAGUAUUUGAAGCAACGAUCUCAAAAACGUAAAAAUUAUCAAAAACGAGCAAAUUACAUACCUAAAUCAAACCCCCCAAGUGUACAAAUUACAUAUUAUUACACAUUUUACCAUUUUGCCCUUAAUGAAAUAACUUUAAUAAUGAACUAACUAUGUCUAUAAAAGUCCUCUCAUAAAUUCAAUGGUAUAAUAUCAACAUAAGGAUCCCACAUUAUAAAAGCCAUAGCAAUAUAGCACUUUAACAAUAGUAAGUCACUUUUGCAUUUUACACGAUUAAGUCACUUUUGCAUUUUAUACGAUUAAGUCAUUUUAUUAAAUCAAACACACAAACGAUAAAAUUUUCACUUGAAACUUUCACACAUCUAAUAUAUCAUGCUGUAAAAAUGAAAAAUAAUAUUAAAAUAAUUUUACGACUUCGGAUUUGUGAUUUCAAAACCACUGUUCUAAUUUAUCUAAAACUGGACUGUUACAAAUACAAUUUAAACUCAAUUCAGUCCAAUUCACAUCUUAGGAAAAAUUACUAUUUUGCCCAUAAACUUUUAAUUAAUGAUGAUUUUGUCCCUAGUAUCGGAAAAUGAAAUUCAUGCAAUUAAAUCCUUAUUUCAAGCGUAGCCAAUUCUUAGAUGUAAAAUUUAUAGCUCAUGUAUAUCAUAAAAUUCAAAAUUUUUCCAUGAUUUUUACAACUUUUCAAUUUAGUCCCUAAAUCAUAUUUUCAUCAAAGUUCACUUUGUAAAAGUUGUUUAUCUAUCAAUAGAAUUUCAUAUUUUACCAUAAAUUUCAAAAUUUCAGCAUAUUAAUCCAUGGAAAAAUUUUCAUACUUUGAUAACUUUACAAAUUAAUCCCCAAAAUUGCUAAAUUAAGUUGUCAUUAUCUCAAAAAUAUAAAAUUACUAAAAACAGGACUUGAAUACUUACCUAAUUUGGCCAAGAAAGCUUGCUUUCUCUUUCCUAAGUUUUCAUGCAAAAUAUUUGGGGAAGAUGAUGAUAAAUGAUGAUAUUUUCAUCUUUUUUAUUAUUUAUCAUCUUUAUUUUUUCAUCUUUCCAAUCCUUUUCUUUAAUUUUAUUUUCCAUAGAUGAAUCAUCAUCCUUAACAACUAAGUAUUUUUUUUAAUGGUCUAAUUACCAUAUAAGGACCUCCAAUUUUAAGUUCUAUAGCUAUUUAAUCCCUUUAGCUAUUGAGUUUUGCACUUUGUGCAAUUUGGUCCUUUAUCAAAUUAAAUAUAUAAUCGAUAAAAUUUCUUUACGAAAUUUUCACGCAAUAUUAUUAUCAUAUUGUAGAUCAUAUAAUAGUAUUAAAAUAAUUUUUCUUUCCGUAUUCAGAUAUGUGGUCUCGAAACCACUGUUCCAAAUUUAUCGAGAAUGCGUUGUUACAACCUCAACCAUUGAUAGGACAUUCUGUAACACCCCGAACCCGAAACCGACACCGGAGUCGAACACGAGGUGUUAACUGGCUUUAACCCCUUACAAAAUUUAUUUUCCAGACACUGCCCAAUCUGUGUACUAGUCGUUUUAAAAAUCAUAUCUUGAGUUUCGUAACUCGAAAAUCAGUUUCGUAAUUUUUCCCCGAAACUAGACUCAUGUGCCCAUCUAUAUAUUUUUUUCUAGAAUUUUUGGUCGGGCCAAUUAGUACAGUUUAUUAGUCAAAGUUCCCCCAAGUUGCAGGGGUCGACUACACUGACCUUUGCCCAUUACGACUUGGAUAUCUCCCUGCACGGGGCUUCAAUACUGUUUCCGUUUGUUUCUAUGAAAACUAGACUCAGAGAGGAAUCUGUACAUAUAUGGUACGACCCCUAAUUAUCUCUGGUUAAUUUAUAAUGAAUUUCCAAAGUCGGAGCAGGGAAUCCAGAAACCGUUCUGGCCCUGUCCCACUAAAAUCUGAUUAUCUCUUAAUACACUGCCCAUAUGAUCUUUUCGUUACCUCCUCACGAAAGCAGACUCAUCGAGCUUCGAUUACAUAAUUUAUUCAUCAAUUAAUUCCACUCCUACUAUUUUUAGUGAUUUUUCAAUCUCAUGACACUGCUGCUGCCAGCAUCUGUUACGAAAGUAAUUAGGUCCAUUUCAUGCCUACCCUUGAUCCAAUUCAAUCGAACAUUCGUGCCAUUUUCGCAUGGCUUAAAGUUUACAUGCCAUAAUUCAAACACAACGUACUAGCUUAUACAUGCCAAAAUGAUCUUCUAAACACACUAAGAAGAAAGUACCAAAACUUGCUAUCCGGUGUGAUGACUUCGAUGACGGCCCGACCCCGCAAAAAUAGAUGAGUCCAAGCAACCUAUAAUGGGUGACAAGGAAACAUCGAGUGAGUUUAUAACUCAGUAAGUCAUAAGCAAUGCACUACCAUCUAUCGACAACAUUAUCACAAGAGGAAACAAAAUAGAACGAGACAAUUUACUCCAUCCAUACCGAACCAUACCAUAGUUCCUCCAACCUCUCAAUUCAAUUUCAUAUCAAUUCAUGCAUUCACAUUCUAUAUACUCAUCAAUAGGACAUUGAAGCAAUUUCAUAAAUCAAUUUAUUUUCGUUACAAUCAAACGACUAUACGGCCUUUCACCCAUCCUACGAUAAAUUUUAUGUACGUGACUUCAAGUAUAUAUGUCACAUAGGUUCGAACUUACCGAGCUCAACACCAAGUAUAAGCAUAGCACCUAUUAACCACGUGCUCAAGACACUUACCCGACCUGCUGUCCGCGAUCGACUCAAUAGUGUCACACACAUAGUGUCCAUAAUGAUUCACGAAUGUAUAUUGAGCCCGCACACUCAGUGCCAUACAAUCAACUCGCACACUUAGUGCCACGUAAUCAAAUCGCACACUUAGUGCUACAUAGUUAGACUCGCACACUUAGUGCCGCAUGGUCAAUUCGCACACUUAGUGCAUCAUAUUCAUUUCGCACACUUAGUGCAACAUAGUCGAAUCGCACACUUAGUGCUGUACAAUUUAAUCCCGCGCACUUAGCGCCAAUCUCAUGGUCAUAAAUGGUUAUCCCGCACGUUUAGUGCCGAGAUCAACAACUCAAUACAUCUUACCUCUUUUCUUUCGUUCAACAAUUUCAUCAUCACAUACGUACACGCAUAUAUAUAUAUAUAUGUAUAUUUAUUCAUUCCAUUCAGCAUCAAUCCAUAACGUUAUGACCAUUGAAAUAAUACCAACUACAUGCUUAAUGACUUACCUCGUGUUGGGUAAGACGGUUCCAACUCGGCUACUCGAUAACCUUUUCUUUGCCUUUGCUCGAUUCACCUCCUUUAACUCCUUGAGCUAAAUCAAUAAUUUAACUAGUUUAACCACCUUGCUAAAUAUUUACAAUCCAAUUUCACAUGUAUAUGUAUGUUAGUAUAUUCGGCCAAUAGCCUCAUGCAACUACCAAAGCCGAAUCAACUAAAUAUACUUAUGAAUAUAUAUAUAUAUCAUCAUCGAAAUCACCUAAGCUUAGACAUCAAUUUUUAAUUCCAAGCAAGUUGCCGAAUGCAACCUUACUAAAUUUUCAUGGAUUCAAUAUACCAUUACCAUGGAAUCAACAACCAAAAAUUCAUAGACAAUUUAGGAAAAUCACAUUACAAAUCUCAAAUUCAAGCAAAGACCAUGGCCGAAAUGCAUGUAUACAUGUACAAUGUCAACUAUAACAUCAUUUAAACACCUAAUUUCAUCUCAUGAACACUUAAUCGAGUUUUCCUAAUCUAGCAUAUUUUCACAUCUAUUUGUAACAUCAUGUAAGUCCACAUAUAACUACAUUUCUUAAGUCCCACAUCUUAAUGCCCAUUACAGCCACUCCCCUAGUCUAAAUCUAGCAAUCGGCAACACCACCUUUCCACUAUGUUAGCCGAAUACUCAUUCUCUUCCUAGUCCUAAGUUCGGCACCUCCAACAAAAUAGCUUAACAAUUUUCAACUUUCAUGCUAACAUAACAAGCAACUUAACACAACCAUAUAACUAGCAUGCUAAUAGCAUCAAGGUAUCAACUAGCUUUUAUUUUUUUUAAACUCCUUAGCCGAAUCCUAACUCUCCAACAACCCCAAAUCCAACCAUGGAAUAGAUAGAAUCUAGACUCAUCACCCCAAAGGUAGGGUAAGCUUCCAAAAAUAUCAUUGAACAUACCUUGGUCUAAAGGACCACCUUGGCCGAAUCUUGCUUCCUCUUCUUCCUCUAGUUAGAACAAUUGCAAAAGAAAGAAAAUAUGAACACUCCUUCUUCCCUCCUUAUUAAGCAUUCAAACUCCCUCAUUUUUCAUGCCACAACAUCAAACACUCUCCCUAGGCACAAGCAAUGGCCGAAUUCCUUCCAAGUUCUUUUCUCCCCUUCUUUUUCUUGGUUUUUCGGCUAGGAGAUGGCAAGUAUGACACCCAUUUUUUUUUUGUUCCCUUUUCUAUUAUUAUCCCCAUCAUUUGUUCACCAAAGAAAUAUAUUAAAUUAGAAUGAGUGGAGCAUCAUCACUCCUUGGCCGGCCACCAUGAAUUUUAUGGGCAAAUUGACAUGCAAAGCCAUGCUUCCUCAACCUAUUAUUAAUUAAUCCUUAUAAUUCAUCUAUCAUCUUUUCUAACUUCGUCAACUAGGUCCUUUUUGAAUGAAUUCACAAUCCUAAUGCUAAUAUUAAGCAUUUAAUUUCUCAUACAUUCACUGUCACACAACAAUUUAUGCAAUUAAAACACGAAAAUAAAUUUUUGGCUCGGUAAUGUGGUCUCGAAACCACAUUCCGACCAGGGUCUAAUUUGGGUUGUCACAACUCUCCCCCACAUAAGAAAUUUUCGUCCCCGAAAAUCUUACCGGUAAAUAGGUUUGGGUAUCGUUCUUUCAUCGAGCUCUCGGUUUCCCAGGUUGCUUCCUCGAUCCCGUGUUUAAGCCACAACACCUUAACCAACGGAACCCUUUUAUUUCGCAACUCUUUCACUUCACGAGUUAGGAUACGAAUCGGUUCUUCUUCAUAGCUCAUAUCAGCCUGAAUUUCAACCUCCGACGGACUAAUUAUGUGCGAAGGAUCAGAUCUAUAGCGUCGAAGCAUCGAAACAUGAAAGACGUCGUGAAUCUUUUCAAGUUCAGGAGGCAAAAUCAAUCUAUAUGCAACCGGCCCCACUCGUUCGGAAAUUUCGUACGGCCCAAUGAAUCUCGGGCUCAACUUGCCUUUACGGCCAAACCUGAGUACCUUUUUCCAAGGCGAAACUUUGAGGAACACUUUAUCUCCCACCUGAUAUUCAAUGUCCUUCCGUUUCAGAUCCGCAUACGAUUUUUGACGAUCUGUGGCUACCUUCAGACUUUCACGGAUUACCUUUACUUUCUGUUCGGCAUCUUUAAUCAAAUCAACUCCGAAAAUUUUACUUUCACCGAGCUCGGUCCAAAAUAAUGGUGUACGGCAUUUACGACCGUACAAAGCCUCGUAAGGUGCCAUCUUAAUACUUGAUUGAAAACUAUUGUUGUAAGCGAAUUCAAUCAAAGGUACAUACCGUUCCCAUGAACCACUAAACUCAAGGAUGCAGCAUCUCAGCAUAUCCUCGAGUAUCUGAAUUAUCCGCUCGGAUUGACCAUCGGUUUGGGGAUGAAAAGCGGUGCUAAAAUGCAGCUGGGUACCCAAAGCUUCUUGCAAUUUCUUCCAAAAUCGCGAGGUGAAUCUCGGAUCUCUAUCCGACACGAUAGAAAUAGGUACUCCAUGUAAUCUCACAAUCUGAGAAACAUACAAUUCGGCUAGUUUAUCCAAUGAAAAAUCCGUACGCACGGGGAUAAAGUGAGCCGACUUAGUCAACCUAUCAACAACAACCCAAAUCGCAUCCUUCUUACUUGCGGACAAUGGCAGUCCGGACACAAAGUCCAUUGUGACUCGGUCCCAUUUCCACUCGGGUAUCAUGAUCGGCUGAAGUAACCCUGAAGGCACUUGAUGUUCCGCUUUCACUUGUUGACAUAUUAAACAUCUCGAAACAAAGUCGGAGAUGUCUCGCUUCAUACCAUGCCACCAAAACCGACGUUUCAAGUCGUUGUACAUUUUCGUGCUCCCCGGGUGAAUUGACAUUCGGCUACAAUGGGCUUCGUUCAGAAUCAUCGGAAUGAGUUCCGAAUUCCUUGGAACGCACAAACGACUUCUAAACCUCAAACAACCAUCAUCAUCAAUCUGAAACUCCGAUUCCUUGUUCGGAACACGCUCAGCUCGUUUUGCAACGAAUUCAUCAUCGACUUUCUGAGCUUCACGAAUUUGAUGAGUCAAUAAUGGUUUGGCUUUUAAUUCAGCUACUAACACAUUGUCAGGUAGAACAGACAAGUGUACAUUCAUCGCUCGCAAAGCAAACAGUGAUUUCCGGCUUAAGGCGUCCGCAACCACAUUAGCCUUUCCCGGAUGGUAAUCAAUGACAAGCUCGUAAUCUUUCAACAACUCAAGCCAACGUCUUUGUCGCAGAUUCAAGUCUCGUUGAGUCAUCAAAUAUUUGAGACUUUUGUGAUCCGAAAACACAUGGCACUUCUCACCAAACAAAUAAUGUCGCCAUAUUUUCAAUGCAAACACAAUGGCGGCUAGUUCGAGAUCAUGGGUCGGAUAAUUUCUUUCGUGUGGCUUCAAUUGUCUCGACGCAUAGGCCACAACUCGACCUUCUUGCAUCAAUACGCAACCCAACCCGAGUAGGGAUGCGUCACUAUAAACAACAAACUCUUUACCCGAUUCGGGUUGCACCAAAAUUGGAGCUUCAGUCAGAUGAGUUUUCAGUUGAUCGAAGCUUUUCUGACAUUUCUCCGUCCAUUCGAACUUAACAUCCUUCUGAAGUAGCUUCGUCAUUGGUGUGGCUAUCAUCGAGAAACCUUUGACAAAUCAUCGGUAAUAACCGGCGAGCCCUAGAAAGCUCCGGACUUCGGUAACAUUUCUCGGAGGCUUCCAGUUAAGUAUGGCUGAAAUUUUGCUCGGGUCAACUCGAAUACCCGAUGCGGAUACCACAUGACCCAAGAAGCUAACCUCUCUUAACCAGAACUCACACUUACUGAACUUAGCAUAUAACUGCUUAUCCCGCAAAAUUUGCAACACUUGCCUCAGAUGCUCAGCAUGUUCGGUCUCAUCUCUUGAAUAGACCAAGAUGUCAUCAAUAAACACAACUACGAACCGAUCCAAAUACGGCCUGAAGAUCCGAUUCAUCAAAUCCAUAAACACCGCAGGGGCAUUAGUGAGCCCGAACGGCAUCACUAAGAACUCGUAGUGACCGUACCUCGUUCUGAAAGCAGUUUUGGGUACGUCCGAAUCUCGAAUCCGCAACUGAUAAUAACCCGAUCUCAAAUCUAUCUUUGAAAACACCGAUGCUCCCUUUAAUUGAUCGAACAGAUCAUCAAUACGCGGUAACGGAUACUUAUUCUUUAUCGUCACUUUAUUCAGUUGACGAUAAUCAAUGCACAACCUCAUGGUUCCGUCCUUCUUUUUCACGAACAAUACUGGGGCACCCCAAGGUGAGAAACUCGGUCGAGCGAAACCUCUAUCCGUCAAGUCUUGCAACUGAGCUUUCAACUCUUUUAACUCGGUUAGUGCCAUACGAUACGGAGCGAUCGAAAUUGGCGUAGUUCCAGGUAUAAGCUCAAUUCCAAACUCUACUUCCCGAACAGGUGGCAAACCCGGUAACUCUUCAGGAAAAACAUCCGGGUAUUCACAAACCACCGGCACCGACUCGGGUUUCUUUUCUAACUCCUUGUCAUCAAGUACAUGCGCGAGGUAUGCUUCGCACCCUUUCCUUACAUAUUUCUGGGCCAACAUUGCUGAUAUUACAGCUGGCAACCCCCUUAAGUCCGCAGACUCAACUCGGAUUAUUUUGUCAUUCGCGCACCUCAAAUCGAUAGUCUUGCUUUUGCAAUUCACAACCGCAUCAUGCGCGGUUAACCAAUCCAAACCAAGAAUAACAUCAAACUCGUCGAACGGCAAAAGCAUCAGAUCGGCCGGAAAACAGGAUUUUCGGAUUAUUAGAGGGCAUCUCUUACACACUUUAUCAACAAGUACGCAUUGACCCAAAGGGUUUGACACUCGAAUUACUAGCUCAGUAGACUCAACAGGUAGAGUCUUACUGGAUGCUAAGGUUUCGCAUACAUAUGAAUGAGUAGAGCCAGGGUCAAUCAAUGCAAUCACAUUAGUAUCAAAGAGAGUGAAGGUACCAGUGAUGACGUCGGGGGAGGAUGCCUCCUCUCGUGCGCGAAUGGCAUACGCUCUAGCAGGAGUACGGUUCUCGGCGCGAUCGGCCGUAUCAGAGGCCCCCCUCUGACUACCACCCCUGCCUCCUAAAAUUCUCGGUGGUGUACCUCUAGAUGUCACUCCACUAGGUCUUGCACCUUGAAUCUUAUUCUUCUCAUCCAGCUCCGUGCAAUCUCUAAUGAAGUGGUCCUUCGAACCGCAUCCGUAACAGGCCCUGUUAGUAGACUUGCCCCAACAUUCACCUAGGUGUCGUCUUCCACAUUGGGGACAUUCAGGUUUCUCGUGACGAUUAUUGCCCACACUAGCUACCGAAGUAGCUCGGGAGCCCAUCGAUGGUCUUGCCCUGAUGGAAAUUCCCGCAGUCGCCCUCGACUUAUUAAUGUCCUCCCUGAACUUCUUCACAGCUGAGAACGGAGCUUUACCCGUCGAUCUUUUACGAUAAUCUCUAGCUUCAAAUUCAGCCUUCUUCUUCUCUUUUCCAAGUUCCUCCGCCUUGCAGGCUCGUUCGACUAGUGUUACGAAUUCCUUUAUUUCCAGAAUACCCAUUAGUAGCUUUAAAUCUUCGUUCAAUCCUUCCUCAAAUCUUUUGCACAUAGAAACCUCAUCAGCUACACACUCCCGGGCAUACCUACUAAGUCUUACGAAUUCAUGUUCGUAUUCAGAUACAGUCAUACGGCCUUGCUUGAGUUCCAAGAACUCCUUACGCUUCUGGUCAAUGAACCGUUGGCUAAUAAAUUUCUUCCGGAAUUCCGUUUGAAAGAAGUCCCAAGUUACUCGCUCGUUCGGGACUAUGGAAAUCAAGGUCCUCCACCAAUAGUAGGCUGAGUCUCGCAACAAAGAUACAGCACAUUUUAGACAUUCAUCGGGUGUUCAUGACAAUUCAUCGAACACCCGAAUGGUGUUAUCAAGCCAGAACUCGGCCCUUUCGGCAUCAUCAGUUACUAUGGCCUUGAACUCCUCGGCCCCACGCUUCCUAAUCAAGUCUACAGGUGGCUUACUCAGCCUCACAGGAUCAGCGACUGACGGCCUUACAGGCUCUUGGGGUGGGUUAUUCAAAUUUGGGAAUUGUUGGACAGCCGGGUUGGCUCGGGCAUAUUGCGCGACCCACUCAUUCAUCAUGGUAAAGAAGGCUUGUUUAGCCCCCUCACCUUGAUUAUUCGCAGAUGACUGAGGUUCAACAGGUGGCGUCCCUUGUGCAGGAGCAGCCGCUACGCUCUCAACGUCAUCCGCUAGGGUUCUUUCUUCACCGGGAUCCAUUUACUAAUCAAGACAAAAACAUUUCAACCGUCAGAAGUCAUCACCCUUUUAAACAUUAACAUUAUGGCAUGUAUAGCUAGACUCAUACGUGCUAUGGAAGUCCUAGAACCGACUAAACCAUAGCUCUGAUACCAAUAAAAUGUAACACCCCGAACCCGAAACCGACACCGGAGUCGAACACGAGGUGUUAACUGGCUUUAACCCCUUACAAAAUUUAUUUUCCAGACACUGCCCAAUCUGUGUACUAGUCGUUUUAAAAAUCAUAUCUUGAGUUUCGUAACUUGAAAAUCAGUUUCGUAAUUUUUCCCCGAAACUAGACUCAUGUGCCCAUCUAUGUAUUUUUUUCUAGAAUUUUUGGUCGGGCCAAUUAGUACAGUUUAUUAGUAAAAGUUCCCCCAAGUUGCAGGGGUCGACUACACUGACCUUUGCCCAUUUCGACUUGGAUAUCUCCCUGCACGGGGCUUCAAUACUGUUGCCGUUUGUUUCUAUGAAAACUAGACUCAGAGAGGAAUCUGUACAUAUAUAGUACGACCCCUAAUUAUCUCUGGUUAAUUUAUAAUGAAUUUCCAAAGUCGGAGCAGGGAAUCCAGAAACCGUUCUGGCCCUGUCCCACUAAAAUCUGAUUAUCUCUUAAUAUACUGCCCAUAUGAUCUUUUCGUUACCUCCUCAUGAAAGCAGACUCAUCGAGCUUCGAUUACAUAAUUUAUUCAUCAAUUAAUUCCACUCCUACUAUUUUUAGUGAUUUUUCAAUCUCAUGACACUGCUGCUGCCAGCAUCUGUUACGAAAGUAAUUAGGUCCAUUUCAUGCCUACCCUUGAUCCAAUUCAAUCGAACAUUCGUGCCAUUUUCGCAUGGCUUAAAGUUUACAUGCCAUAAUUCAAACACAACGUACUAGCUUAUACAUGCCAAAAUGAUCUUCUAAACACACUAAGAAGAAAGUACCAAAACUUGCUAUCCGGUGUGAUGACUUCAAUGACGGCCCGACCCCGCAAAAAUAGAUGAGUCCAAGCAACCUAUAAUGGGUGACAAGGAAACAUCGAGUGAGUUUAUAACUCAGUAAGUCAUAAGCAAUGCACUACCAUCUAUCGACAACAUUAUCACAAGAGGAAACAAAAUAGAACGAGACAAUUUACUCCAUCCAUACCGAACCAUACCAUAGUUCCUCCAACCUCUCAAUUCAAUUUCAUAUCAAUUCAUGCAUUCACAUUCUAUAUACUCAUCAAUAGGACAUUGAAGCAAUUUCAUAAAUCAAUUUAUUUUCGUUACAAUCAAACGACUAUACGGCCUUUCACCCAUCCUACGAUAAAUUUUAUGUACGUGACUUCAAGUAUAUAUGUCACAUAGGUUCGAACUUACCGAGCUCAACACCAAGUAUAAGCAUAGCACCUAUUAACCACGUGCUCAAGACACUUACCCGACCUGCUGUCCACGAUCGACUCAAUAGUGUCGCACACAUAGUGUCCAUAAUGAUUCACGAAUGUAUAUUGAGCCCGCACACUCAGUGCUAUACAAUCAACUCGCACACUUAGUGCCACGUAAUCAAAUCGCACACUUAGUGCUACAUAGUUAGACUCGCACACUUAGUGCCGCAUGGUCAAUUCGCACACUUAGUGCAUCAUAUUCAUUUCGCACACUUAGUGCAACAUAGUCGAAUCGCACACUUAGUGCUGUACAAUUUAAUCCCGCGCACUUAGCGCCAAUCUCAUGGUCAUAAAUGGUUAUCCCGCACGUUUAGUGCCGAGAUCAACAACUCAAUACAUCUUACCUCUUUUCUUUCUUUCAACAAUUUCAUCAUCACAUACGUACACGCAUAUAUAUAUGUAUAUUUAUUCAUUCCAUUCAGCAUCAAUCCAUAACGUUAUGACCAUUGAAAUAAUACCAACUGCAUGCUUAAUGACUUACCUCGUGUUGGGUAAGACGGUUCCAACUCGGCUACUCGAUAACCUUUUCUUUGCCUUUGCUCGAUUCACCUCCUUUAACUCCUUGAGCUAAAUCAAUAAUUUAACUAGUUUAACCACCUUGCUAAAUAUUUACAAUCCAAUUUCACAUGUAUAUGUAUGUUAGUAUAUUCGGCCAAUAGCCUCAUGCAACUACCAAAGCCGAAUCAACUAAAUAUACUUAUGAAUAUAUAUAUAUCAUCAUCGAAAUCACCUAAGCUUAGACAUCAAUUUUUAAUUCCAAGCAAGUUGCCGAAUGCAACCUUACUAAAUUUUCAUGGAUUCAAUAUACCAUUACCAUGGAAUCAACAACCAAAAAUUCAUAGACAAUUUAGGAAAAUCACAUUACAAAUCUCAAAUUCAAGCAAAGACCAUGGCCGAAAUGCAUGUAUACAUGUACAAUGUCAACUAUAACAUCAUUUAAACACCUAAUUUCAUCUCAUGAACACUUAAUCGAGUUUUCCUAAUCUAGCAUAUUUUCACAUCUAUUUGUAACAUCAUGUAAGUCCACAUAUAACUACAUUUCUUAAGUCCCACAUCUUAAUGCCCAUUACAGCCACUCCCCUAGUCUAAAUCUAGCAAUCGGCAACACCACCUUUCCACUAUGUUAGCCGAAUACUCAUUCUCUUCCUAGUCCUAAGUUCGGCACCUCAAACAAAAUAGCUUAACAAUUUUUAACUUUCAUGCUAACAUAACAAGCAACUUAACACAACCAUAUAACUAGCAUGCUAAUAGCAUCAAGAUAUCAACUAGAUUUUAUUUUUUUUUAAACUCCUUAGCCGAAUCCUAACUCUCCAACAACCCCAAAUCCAACCAUGGAAUAGAUAGAAUCUAGACUCAUCACCCCAAAGGUAGGGUAAGCUUCCAAAAAUAUCAUUGAACAUACCUUAGUCUAAAGGACCACCUUGGCCGAAUCUUGCUUCCUCUUCUUCCUCUAGUUAGAACAAUUGCAAAAGAAAGAAAAUAUGAACACUCCUUCUUCCCUCCUUAUUAAGCAUUCAAACUCCCUCAUUUUUCAUGCCACAACAUCAAACACUCUCCCUAGGCACAAGCAAUGGCCGAAUUCCUUCCAAGUUCUUUUCUCCCCUUCUUUUUCUUGGUUUUUCGGCUAGGAGAUGGCAAGUAUGACACCCAUUUUUUUUGUUCCCUUUUCUAUUAUUAUCCCCAUCAUUUGUUCACCAAAGAAAUAUAUUAAAUUAGAAUGAGUGGAGCAUCAUCACUCCUUGGCCGGCCACCAUGAAUUUUAUGGGCAAAUUGACAUGCAAAGCCAUGCUUCCUCAACCUAUUAUUAAUUAAUCCUUAUAAUUCAUCUAUCAUCUUUUCUAACUUCGUCAACUAGGUCCUUUUUGAAUGAAUUCACAAUCCUAAUGCUAAUAUUAAGCAUUUAAUUUCUCAUACAUUCACUGUCACACAACAAUUUAUGCAAUUAAAACACGAAAAUAAAUUUUUGGCUCGGUAAUGUGGUCUCGAAACCACAUUCCGACCAGGGUCUAAUUUGGGUUGUCACACAUUCAACACUAGCACCGGAAACAUGGUAACCCUAAUGACAUAUCAUUUGCAUCCUACAUAUUCCUAAGGUUCAAACAGGACAAACAGGACUCGAUAACCGUCAAUUUGUCAUAAUGCGGAUACAUUCAUAUAUAUUGAUUCAUUUACAUUAAAUAAUAAUAAUAAACAUUCAAUUUAAACAACAUUAUACCAAGUACAUUUCAUACGAACUUACCUGGCUAAUUUGCAAUAAUGACUAGGUAUAGGGGCUAUUUGGUAAUUUUCUCUUCUCCUGGAUUUUCCACUUGUUCUCAAUCUAAAUUGAUAAUUUCAUUCAAUUCAUUAACAUAGAUAGUAAAUCCAACUCAUUUUAUUCAAUUUAGUUCUUUUUGAGAUUUUUACAAAAUUACCCUCAACUUUUCAUUUUUAUUCAAUUUAAUCCCUAUGUCCUAAUCAUGCAAAUAAACCAAUUUUAUUGAAAAUUCAAACUAGCCGAAUGUUGAUAGCAUCCAAUAAAUCUCAUAUUGUUGUUAUUUAACAUUAAAUCCUUGUAUUUUUUCUAUUUCAACAAUUUAAUCCCUCAUCGUUAAAUUUAUCAAAAUUCACUUAAGAAAAUACAUAUAAAUUACAACUAAUACUUCAAAUUCAUCAUUUAACAUCUAAAAUCACAAGUAUUAAUCAAUGGUAACAUUCAAAAUCUUUAACAGUUUUAAAAACGAAGGUAUGAACUAGCUGGACCUAAUUGCAACAAUCUCAAAAAUAUAAAAAUUAAAAGAAACGGGUGAAAAUGGCUUACCAUGCAUGAGAAAAUUAAUCUUCUAGCCAUGGUGUUUCAGCUGCUAAAUUUCUAAGAUGAUGGUUUUAAUUUUAUUUUCAUUUAUCCCUUUAUUAAUUAAAUUAUCAUUUUGUCAUUUAUUAACUACUUAAAUUUCAUGAAAUUUGCCAUCAAAACCGUCUAUUAUAAUGCUAAAUGGUAUAUUUUUCAUUUAAGUCACCUUAUUAAUCCUUCCCUAGCCAUUUGACUCCCUUAUCUAAUAGCAACUUACUUUUACAACUUUUACAUAGUCCUUUUCGCGUAAUUAACUAUAUAAACAUCAAAUUUUUUUAACGAAACUCUAAUACAACCUUAAUAACACUCCAUAAGUAUUUAUAAAAAUAUUUACAGCUCGGUUUAUAGAAACGAGGUCCCAAUACCUCAUUUCCAAAACCACUUGACUUUAGGCUCAUACCACUUGAACCUAAUUGUUCUUCCAUUUAACCAAAAAUCAUCAAAUCAAAUUUUAGUAUUACACCAUAUAUUAUUUGUAAAUAUUAAAUAAUAAUAUUUACGAGCUUACACAUCAAAAUUGUGGCCCUGAAGCCACUAUUUCUGACACCACUGGAAAACAAGUUGUUACAUCAGUGCUGUCAAAAGGUCUAGUUUUAGAACCCCAAAUUUUGUGAACCACACUCGUAAAUAUUUUUAUUAAAUUUUUAUAGAGUUAUAUUGGUAGUGAAUUAAAUUUUGGUUUGGUAAAUUUUUCAAAUUAGUGCUUAAUUAUGGUAAAGGGACUAAAUCGCAUAAGUGUUAAAAUUUUAAUUUUUAUUCAACUAUAAGGUAGAAAUUUGAAUAAGGGACUUUUAAAGCAAUUAGACCAAUGAUUUAUUAAUAGUGGAUGACAAAAAGGUGUAAUAGAUUAAAAAUGCGAUAAAAAUUUUAAUAAAAUAAAAUUAAAAGUUAAUUACUUUAAAAGAUGAUAUGUUAGUGGAUUGAAAAAGAAAUAUUAAUUUUUCUUUUCAUUCUUUAACAUUUUGAAGAAAAAAGAACCAGGUAGAAGACACACGGUUGAGUUCUUCAAAAUUUCAAGCCCUAAUUUGGUUAGUUUAAUUUAGUCAUUUUAUUGUAAUUUUUUAUGUUUUUGGAAUCCCAAUACUUCAAACUAGCUGGUUAAUGUCGUAAUUUUUGGAAUUUUUAAAGAUUUAGGAUGGUGUCAUUCUUGAAUGUUUGGAGUUUGAGGUGUUCUUUUGAUAAAUUUUAAGUUUAGAAUUGAUAAAGGACUAAAUUAUAAAUUCAAUUGUUAAAUUUGUGCAAUAAGAACUAAAAUGCACAAAUUUCAAAUUUAGUAGUAGAAAUGUGAAAUAGGAAGUUAAAUUAGGCCUAGAGUGAAAACAAUAUAGAAAUUAGAGAUUUAAAGUGAAAGUUAUGUUAGUCCCGGUGUUAGGGACUAAAUUGAAUAAUAUACAAAAUUUUCAUAAUUUAGAAAUUGAAUAUGAAAAUGGUCGUACAUUGAUGAUUUUCUGUGUUUUUUUAAUCUAUAGCUAACGACGACCUGGAUUCCUCGAAAAAGAAAAGAAAAGACAGUUGUUGACGAAUAGCUCGAAGUUUAUAGUUUGUGUUUCUACAAUCUGAACUCCUUGUAAAAUUAUGGCAUUUUGAACUGCUUUUGUACGGUAAGAAUACAAGGUGAGUCAUUUGUGAUUAAGAAAUUAUUUGGGUUGAAUUGAAUUGAUUGAUAUAUAUGAGGACUAAAUUGAAUGUUUAUGAAAAAUGUAUAUAUACUAUUCAAAUGUGAAAUUGAGUAGGUAAUAUGAUGAUAUAAUGUUGUUAUGAUAAAAAUAAUGGUGAAUGAGAUAUUUUAUGCUAAUGAAAUACGAAAUAGGAACCCUAUUAACUAUCCGAGUAGAAUUAGAUAUAGUUAGCAUGUUAUAGGAUAGGAAGAGUUCAGGGUUACUUCAACUACGAGUCGAUCAGGCGCUGAGUGCCAAAUUGCUUCGAUUUAACCAAUGAGUUAUUAGGUGUCAAACUUCAUUAUAGCACUGGGUGCAACUAUUUACUUUGGAUUUAUUCGACGAGGCACUGGGUGCCAAACUAGUGUGUUGGUUGGAUCCGUGUAUCUGUCCAUGUUCGAGUCUAAGUCAUGUUAAUAGGGAAAUAAAUGGUAAAAUAUUAAAAUAAUCAAUGAACGGGACACAAAAUGGUGGACUGGAUUGUGAAUAUUGAAUGAUUAUGACCAAUGAAUUCAUGAGAUCGAAAAUUGAUAUGGAAUUUGUCAUUAUAGGUGUUAUGUUAUUAAAUGAUUCAUGAAAUAUGAUGCCAUAUCUUAAUAGUAGUAACAUGAGUUUGUGAAAGUUAAUGACUAUGAGAAUUGGCAUAUUAGACUGAUCUAUUGCAUAUCAUCUUUAUUUAACUUAAGCAUAUUUAUGACAUGUAUUAUGUUUUAAUGUUCAGGUUAUAGAAAUACCACUAAGUUAUAAUCAGCAUACGAUUUUGUUUUUCGUGCAUAGGGUGCAUAGGUUAGGUACUUAAAGAAUUUAUUGUCAAUCCAGCAUCCAGUGGCAAUCCUUAACUCAAGUGUUGGCGGAUGGUUCUUUUUUAUCUUGGCAUGUGCCUAGGAAUGUUUUUAUACUUAUAAUGGUCAUUAUGUUUUUGGUUGGCAUUUUGAUCACUAUGAAUAUUUAUAUAUGCAUGUAUGUGAUGUUAAUGAUCUUGUUGAUGAUGACUUGUUAGGUUGUUUUGUUUUAUGCCUAAUGUUCAAAUGGGUGAAAUAAUGUCAAUGGUAUAUGCAUUGCGUUUUGAUUGAUGCUUGGAUGUGAAUGAUGGAUGAUAUAAAUUUAGGUUAUGUUUAGGGAUGUUUUGGUAAGUUAAUGCUUAAUGUUGGGGAUUGAUUGAAUGGUUAACUAGUGCUUGAGAAGUUGAAGAUGGAUAUAUUAUUUAGUGACUAUUAAAUUGGUAUUUGUAUGUUCUUUUGGUUGUGUUUUGUAUGAUGGAAAUUGUUGAGAUGCCUUAAAGGAAUAUUGAUGCAUUUGUAUAUAUAUUCAUUUAGUUGGCUUUAAAUUGUUGAUUGAGGUGCCAAUUGUGGCAUACUGAUUAGGCACUAGGGAUGGUGAUUAUAAAUGAUGAAAUUGGGUUGUUUUGAUUUUUUUGGGAAUGAUUGAUUAUGGUUUAAAAUGGAUGACUUGUAGCCUAAGUGAAGCAUGUUAGAAAACUUGUUUUGAAAGGUAAUUAUAGGUAAACAUGGUCUAACACAUGGCUUGGCACACGGUUGUGUGCCCUACACGGUUUGGAGACACAGCUAUGUGGCUUGUGAAUUUUGGUAGUUUUUAUUGCACACGGUCUGGCAACACAGCCAUGUUCUUGAGUUACACAUGCUAAGCUAUGUCACACGAUCUACCCAUACGGUAGUGUGACCCAAAUUUCAUAGGGUAUAAGGUUGUUACACGGUUCUUCUACAUGACCAUGUAACUCAUCCACACCCGGUCUUGGGACACGAUCGUGUGUCCCCUAUUUCCAAAUUUUUCCCAACUUUUUUUAUUCAAAUUGGUCCAUGUUCAUUCUCGAAUUGUUUUUAAGCUUCUGUAUAUUCAAUAUUUAUCUAGAAUGGAUUAAAUAAUGCAUUUAUGCAUGCUCAUAUGUGAUUAUUUAAUAUUUAUUUGAGAAUUAUGUGAAUAAAUUAUUUGAAAUUUUUUAGUAUUUGUUGUAGCAUCUCAUUACGCAGGUCUGGCGAUUCGGUUGGAUAAGGGGUGUUAGUUUUAUAGCCUAAAACAUAGGUUGUUCAUCCUUGUGAUGGAUGACUUGAUCACUCUCAGCUAGUGAUUCACUUUUCAUGAAGGAAGAUGUAAUAGUUACCAUGAGAUAAAAUAAGAUCAUACUGGUAGAACAUAUAUUAUCCCAUAGAGAUCAAUAAUAUCCUAUGAGGGUAACACACUUAUGACAUGGUCAUUUGACGAGCACUAAGUAGAUACUUUCGUAAUGGUAUGUCGUUGGGGAAAGCUCAGUCACGAUACUAUAGUGGAAUGACUUUAUGAUUAAAUUACUUUAUAAUUAAUAAGCAAAAAGCCUGAACUUAAUUAUAAAUCAUUUGAACCUCAACUACAUAUGUCCAAUUAGUCCCUUCACUGGCUCAUUGAAACCAGAAGUGAAUUGCGUGUUUAGAUUAGAAAUGAAUAGAAAAAAAGGAAUUUGGAAACAUUCAAGAAUGAUUAUGGUUUCCUCUGAAAUGGAGAAAUGGAAUCAUUUGGAAAUGAAUGUAGGUUUCAAAAAAUGGAAAUGGAAACUUACAAUCCUAUAUGGAUUACUUAAAAAGGAUCGAAAGAAUAAAUUUAUGUUUUUGGACUAAUUUUUGAAGGCCAAAAAUGAAAAUAAACCAUUUGGUGGUAGUGAACAUGUUGAGUUGUGAAAUAUUGAACAUAUUUUCUCGAAAUUGUACGAGGGCUAAAAUUGUCAAAAUUUUGUCAGAGGUAAAAUCGUCAAAAGUUUUGUUGGAGGUAAAAUAGGGAUGAGAAAAUUGUUUUAUAUAUAAAUAUUAAACUUUAUUUUUGUAAAUAGAAAAACUGAAUUAAGUUGGAUCACAUUACAAAGUUCAGGUCAAAAAGGCCCACGAAGUACUAGUAAUUAGACCCGAUGUCAGAUAGGCCAAAAACCCCUCAUGUAACAUGAAGGGGGCGGCAACCCUAGUAGGAAUACUAGGGUGUGUCGUCCACCCCUCUCCUACUCUAAGUAGGAAGUUUUUUUUCUAUUUCAAAUAAGCCACUACAACUGAACAAGGGUUCUAACUUUUCUUCCUAUAAAUAGAUGGCACCCAUAGAGCUAUUAAGAUAAUUUUUGAAAGAUUGUUAUUCUAACGAAAAAUAGAGAGAAUUAAUUCUCAACUAUUAAAUAUACUUUUCUAGGAUAACAAUUCUACCAGUUUCUAUAAGGAAGAGAUAAUUUUUGUUUUCACCUCAAAAAGAGAGAACUUUUUCUAGUUUUGUGUUUCAACUCAAUAGGUUCGAACCCACACUCGAAGCAGUUCGUGGUACGAGAAUAGUAAAGAAGAUCGUUUGGUUGAAAUCUGGAAAACAUCAGGGAUUAGUUUAUUCGAAAACAUAGGUAUGAUUUUGUUCUAAGGUUUAUUUCCAUAAAUAUCACAAACCAGGUCAGUUUUCAAAAUCAAAAUUUUCCGAUGUGCAAGAAAGCCAUUUUUAAACUAGUCUUUUUCUAACAAUUUGUAUCAAGAGCCAGGUUGUGCUAUGUUUAUGGUGUAAAUUGAGACUGAAUCCCUCUCUUCAUCUUAUUUGAUUAAUAUUUGAUAAGAUGUGGUAUUCUUAUAAUUAUUCACAUGUUUAAAGGAAUGUAUUUGAAUGAAUGCAAUAUUAUAUAUACUUGUUAUAUAAUAAUUAUUAUUUGUUUUCCAAGGUUGUGGUUGUUAGGAAAUAGACCAUGGACUAUCAUCUCCACGUAUGAUUAUUUUUUAUUUAUGGAAUUCUUGUGAGCUGGAAAUAGAAAUAGGACAUAAAUGUAUUUUUUUUCAAAAAAGGAGUCCAUGACGAGGAGAAGAUGGAGCGAUGUUGGUCGAAGACAGAAGGAAUACAUUGUGGUGAAAAAAUAUAUAACUCUUUUUGGUUUUUCAUUUAUUUUCUAGAAAUAAAACCAUGGAAACAUUGGCUGGGAAUUUUAUUUUACUACUCAUCUCUUUAUAUAUUUAUUUAAUAAUUAUUUAUGAUAUAAUUGUGUUAUAUAUGUAUGAGAUGAUCCACAAUUGAUCUAUUAAAUAUAAAAAGUGUAGUAAUGAGAAAAUACAUGUGUUGUAUUGUUCCAUUCACUUCUCUACAUAAUUCGAUUACUGUGAGAAGUAUGGUAAUGAGAAGGUACAUGUCUAGGAUUGGAUAUGGCAAGGAAAAGCUUGGUUUUUAAGUGGUCAAAUAUGACUCACGUCCCUUUCCUAGGAACCUACCUGGUGUACGGUUCACAUUCACUUCUUUGAUUUUUCCAUUAAAAGAAAAACUAUUGAGAAUCAAAAUUGUUUGAUUGGCUCUAGUGAAUAAUUGAAUGUUAAAAUUAUAAAAUUGUCAUAAUAUGUCAUGAAUACAUGAGAUAAGCAUGCCAUAUAAUUUAAGAAAGAAUGCCACAUUGUAACACCCCAAACCCGGCCUAGAAGUUUGGCUCGAAUCUGGCGUGUCACAUUGAAGUGUUUUUCGAAAACCAUGUUUCCAUUAAAAACCCUUCUUAAUAAUUAAAAACUUAUACCCUUUUUAAACCUUGUUAGAAAACCUCAGCUGAAAAACAUUCUUAACAACUUUGUAAAAAUCCUGGCAGUUGCGGAAGCUUAAUUUAAAAACGAUUGCGUCUACGUGAUGUUUUGAACAACAGUAGUUGCUUUGGAAAACCGUGUUCUAAUACUAGCAAUUAUAAGAACAAUAAAUAAAAUUCCAAAUUUGAAAUCCAGAAAAUUGCAACGGCUUUACUACAACCCACAUCAAACAUUUAAAAGUAAUAAUCAAAAUUGUAACAUAAAUAGUGUGUGUGGCUUCCACCGAGCCCCUCGCAGCCCCGAUCCGUCUAAGGCUAGAAAUUACCUGAAAGGUUAAUAAACGGGGUGAGUUUACGAAAACUCAGUGUGAAAUCCCCUACUAUAAAAAGGAACAGUCAGUCAUAUAAAAGAAUUAAAAGUCUGGCCCCAGCCUUACUUACAGUUUCAGUAUCAAUUGGGCCUUAGCACACUAUAACAGACAGUACCAGAUGGGCUUUAACCAAUUAUAGAAUAAAAAACAUUAUCAGAACUAGAAGCAGAACCAGAAUCAGAAUCAGAAUUAGGUGACAGAAUCAGAAUCAGAAUCAGUAUCAGGUAACCGAAUCAAAAUCACAAUCAGCAUCAGGUAACAGAAUCAAAAUCAAAAUCAGUAUCAGGUAACAGAAUCAAAAUCAGAAUGUGAAUGCAAUCUCAACCCAGCCUAUAACCAACCGCUACACUCCACCCGUACCAGCCCUACACUCCAUGUAGGGAAUAGCUCAACCCACCCAGCCCUACACUCCACAGUUGCAGCAUUGCUGCUCAGUUAUCAGAUAUUAUGACAGAGUCACCAGAUACAGAUAUUGUGGCAGAGCCACCAGAACAGAUAAUGUGGCAAAGCCACUUAACAGAAUACAUGGCACAAAGCCGUCGAUAACUGCAUCAUGUUAGGCACAUAGCCAUCAACUAGAGUAACAUAAUCGGCACACAGCCCUAGGUAAAUGUGAUCGACAUAGAGUCGUCAAUAACCAUAUAUUGGCACAUAGCCUUAGGCAAAUACGUUUGGCACACAGCCAUAAUCAGGUUGGCACAGAGCCAUAUGUAGGUUAACACAAAGCCAUAAUCAAAAGGCUUUAAGCCAUCGGUAGCUGUAUCAUGUUAGGCACAUAGCCAUCAACGACGAUAAUAUAGUCGGCACACAGCCUCGGAUAAAUAUGAUCGGCACUCAGCCAUUGAUCGAUCCACAGUCGUCUUGGGCGACCCGUGCGACCUUAUCAAAUCAGUACGAAUAUACAGCUCUUAAGCCUUCGGUGGAUCCAGAGUCGUCAAGCAACCAUGCGAUUCUAACAGAUCAGAUCUUCCUCCGUAUAAAAUCCCAACCCAUGCAACAUGUCAUGUAUGCAGAAUGUCAUGCCCAUAUUUGAAUCAAACAAUCACAGUCAAGUCAUUCAUAUACCAACAUAUAUUCACAAUCAAAUUCGUCAACCACACAGUCCAAGUUAGUCACUUGGCCACAAGGGCAAAACAGUCAUUUAACACCUUAGGGGCAAAAUGGUAAUUUUACCCCACAAGGUAUCUCGGUAAUUCCACCCUACAGGGGUAUUUUAGUAAUUCUACCCUACAGGGGUAUUUCGGUAAUUCUACCCUACAAGGGUAUUGCGAUAAUUCUACCCUACAGGGGUAUUUCGGUAAUUCUACCCUACAGGGGUAUUCUGGUAAUUCUACCCUACAGGGGUAUUCCGAUAAUUCUACCCUAUAGGGGUAUUUCGAUAAUUUUGUAAAUUGAGGGUAAAACGGUAAUUCUAUAAAUCAGGGGUACUUUGGUAAUUUUACAAGUCGAGGGUAUUUUAAUAAUUUUAUGGGUCAAGGGUAUUUCAGUAAUUUCACAAAUCAGGGAUAUUUUGGUAAUUUUACAAACUAGGGGUAUUUUGAUAAUUUUACAAACCAGGGGUAUUUUGGUAAUUUUACAAACCAAGGGUAUUUUGGUGAUUUUAUAAACCAAGGGUAUUCUAGUAAAUUUACAAACCAGGGGUAUUUUGGUAAUUUGGUAAACUAAAGUAUUCUAAACAGGGAUAACAAUACGAAUGGCCCUAAAGCUUAUUUUUGGCCCAAAUGGGCCCACACGCUCGUGUGGCCCUUUUAGCCCAAAUCUAGCCACAGAUAUGAGAUUCACCUAGCCUAGUCCAAUAUUUGCUACACAAUCAAACAACUUAUCCAAUUGGACCCGUAGGCCCAUUGGGCCCACAUGGCCCCUUUCGGUCCAUCGCGGCCUGAAGUAGCCACCCUACUUGAUUGGAGACUGGAGUUAAUCCAUGCUCCGAGCACUUUUAGUCGACGCCCAACCCAAACGAGCACGCCAUAAAGCGAAAGGGAUCAGCCAAGAAAGGUACCUUACUCUCCUCAUGGUUCUCUCUAUUUAAGCCAGCUUCGCAUCCACUCUUAUGUUAGCUUCUUGAUGUGGGAUCCCUCCAUCAUCAGAGUUUAAAUUCAACACCAACUCUUUCCGUCCCCUGUUAGCAAAAUAAAUGCUCUUUGCUUGCCAUGGGAUUCGAACCCAUGCCUCCCCUUAAAUGCUCCACACGCUACUUGCCACUAAGCCACAAGGCUUUUUGUGUCACAAUUUCUCCAACAAUAUUCUUAAGGCCUACCUACUACACCAAGGGUUUGAUUCACCUUAAACCAAAAUUUUUGCUAGAGUCUAGGUUUGAACCCAGGACUUCUCCAACACUUCUCAGCACACUUAACCACUAAAACAAGCCUUCAUUAACGAAAUUUUCAUGUACAACAGAAUAUUAUAAGCUGCCUUCAAUCGCUCCCAUACUCAACGCCCAAAACUUCUAGGCCCAAAUUUAGGGUGUUACAACUCUACCUCCCUUAAAGAAAUUUCAUCCCCGAAAUUUCCAUCUAACAGGGUAGUCGUGUAACAUCUACCCCACUACGCUACCGCUGCGCAUUCUGAUCCUACUAUCACUAUCACACUUCAACUAGAACUUGAAACAUCUCAUACAUACAACACUUAUUCACUGAAGAGGACACAUAUUUAUCACACAUAUAUACAAUUUCUAUAUCCAAACAUCACAUCCACAUAAAAUAAAUACCAAAUUUAAAUUCAGACCAAUAUCUAAAAAAUCCACAGUAUUUCAAUUUCUAAACAGAUAAAAAUAUUCAGAAGACUUACGGAUUCGGCGCCAGAGACUCGGUGUGCCACACUUUUUAAAAGAAAUACUUCAAACCGACCAUGUGGUUGAAAAUAAUUUUCUGAAAUUCAAACUUUGAAAACCCAAUCCAUAGCCGAGUUAUUGCAACCCAGGCUCUGAUACCACUAAAUGUAACACCCCAAACCCGGCCUAGAAGUUUGGCUCGAAUUUGGCGUGUCACAUUGAAGUGUUUUUCGAAUACCAUGUUUCUAUUAAAAACCCUUCUUAAUAAUUAAAAACUUAUACCCUUUUUAAACCUUGUUAGAAAACCUCAGCUAAAUAACAUUCUUAACAACUUUGUAAAAAUCCUAGCAGUUGCGGAAGCUUAAUUUAAAAACAGUUGCAGUUACGUGAUGUUUUGAACAACAGUAGUUGCUUUGGAAAACCGUGUUCUAAUACUAGCAAUUAUAAGAACAAUAAAUAAAAUUCCAAAUUUGAAAUCCAGAAAAUUGCAACGGCUUUACUACAACCCACAUAAAACAUUUAAAAGUAAUAAUCAAAAUUGUAACAUAAACAAUGUGUGUGGCUUCCUCCGAGCCCCUCGCAGCCCCGAUCCGUCUAAGGCUGGAAUGUAACACCCCUAUCCCGUAAUCGUCGCCGGAAUAGGUAAGGGGCAUUACCGGACUUAUAACUCAUGUCAGAACCGUAAAAUUUUGAACUUUUUCUUGAAAUAAAGAUCAUUCAUUUAAAUAAGUACUAAGCACAGCCAGGGAUAAAAUUUAAACUUCUCUAAGUAAACAUUCAAAAGGUGCCAUUUUCGCAUGGCUUAUAUACAUUAACCAAAAUAUUCUUCCGCCACUAGUCUAUUCUAUACAUGCCAUAAAAUAAUUCAAAACAUAACAGUAACAAGCAGUGGAUAGUGAUAGUGUGACUAGUUGCUAACGAUCCCCGAGCCUGUAGCUUCCAAAUGAGAUCUAUAAAACAGAUGAAACAAAGUAAACGGAGUAAGCAUUACAAUGCUUAGUAAGUUUUAAGCAGUGUCAACAGAUAAUAAUCAAAUUAUAACAUAGUUGUUCGUAUUUUUAUUUCACUCUUCCUUCGGGCAUACUAUCCCUUUACCGAAUAUGCACAUCUCAUCAUAUACAAUAGGCAGAUAAACUUUCACAUAAAAGUGAGCUCAUGUGACAUAGAUAUAUUGUAUAAUUUCACAUAACCUCUCACACUGAUCCGAUGUCAUAUAAUCAUAAGAAUAGUCUCAUAGAUUGCUCACGUAUGCAUCACAUAACUGCCUUAUGAUUUAGUUUAAAUCAAGCUCACAUAUAAACUUGGAGUACAUACCUGUUUAACCUUUCGCAUUGAAUAUAUUUAUAAGCAAUUCUUAUAGCGAAGUCUUAUAGCUUUAAACUCUACUCGGAUUAUCGGCGAGACCUUUAGCUCAGAUGAAAUCUCCACACGAAGUCAGCGGGUCUCAACCCAGACAUAGUCACCACAUAUGGUCAUCCGGUCUUUAAUCCCGAGUUUACAUCAUAGAGUUUCAUACAUAUUUAUUCACAUGUUACAACAUUCACAUCGACUAUCAUAUUUGUAAUUCAUUUACCUCAUCAAAUAUCUAAUAAAACACACCUUCCGCCGUUUGUCAUUUGGCCACAAUAUAUAUACACAUCUCAUACAUAUCUCACAUUAGCCAUUUGGCUUUACCACAUAUCCAUCUCAUACAC